rnacentral:lncRNA from 10 species
GGUCAAAUCAAAUGCACAUAGAGAGAAACAUGACUUAUGUGACUUUAAGAAAAGUUGUAUCUUUGAUCUACAACCAAGUCCACUGAUGGGUAGAAUAGCCAAAUUCUCUAUUCCUAGCUAAAGUUAACCUAAAUGUCAACAGAGAGACAGCAGUUUUUCAGGUUACCAUAGUGGGAUUUCAUUCAAGUCCCUCCUAUUAGUCAUUCUUUUUUGGAAAAGAGGCCAAUCCUAAGAAAAAGAUUAGAUUAUUUGUGGUGCCUCUCCACCAAAGACAAUUAUUUCACAUUCCUUCAGGGCGGAGGCUACUCAUCUGGGGCCAACAGAGAAGGGAAGGACACAGAAGUGCAUAGCCAGAAACAGGCAUUUACAUAUUCAAAGAUCACAGGAUGCUUCUUAUGGUCAAAGACAUUCAUCUUCCUGAUAGGAAUGAAGUGGAAAGCUCCAACAACAACAGUCAAGUAAUGGCUGGCUCUUCACUGAAAAUUAUACAAUAUAAAAACCGUGUUUAUGAACUCUUUAUAAUAUUAUCUUUAUUAUUUCUAUAAAAGCAGAAUAGCAUGUGUGUAUGUGAUUUAAUUCUAACUGUGCAAAUAAAACCAUUAAAACCACUUUUUGCAUUUUUAAAUAAUAAAUAGGUUCUAUUUUUGAAAAUUAACCAUGAGAAUCUACCUACCUAGAGUCUGAAAGCAUUUUAGCAGACCUUAGGGAACUUCAGAUGGGAGGAUUUGGAGCACAAGGAGUGUAAUUUGCAGAAGAGUGGGUAAUCCCCUGACUCAUGGAGAAGCACUAUCAAAAAGAUUUUCGAAAAUUGGAAGACAUCCUACCCUUAAUUUUUUUGUUUCAUAUUAUGAAUACUAUCAUUCACAAUAUUAUUUAAUAAAAACGAAUUGUUUUUAUGAAGACAACUUUGUAACAAAUCUUGCUAUAAAACAAAUACUGCUUUUUAUGCUUAGAUGUCUUUUUUAUUUAAAUUUUUUUAUUUCCAUAGGCUUUUGGGGAACAGGUGGUAUUUGGUUACCUGAGUAAGUGGUGAUUUGCGAGAUUUUGGUGUACCCAUCACCCAGUCAGUAUACUCUGAACCCAAUUUGUAGUCUUUUAUCCCUCACCCCCUUCCCACUCUUUCCCCCUGGGUCCCCAAAGUCCAUUGAGUCAUUCCUAUGCCUUUGCAUCCUCAUAGCUUAGUUUCCACUAAUGAGUGAGAACACACGAUGUUUGGUUUUUCUAUUCCUGAGUUACAUCACUUAGAAUAAUAGUCUCUAGUAUCAUACAGGUUGCUGCGAAUGCCAUUAAUUCAUUCCUUUUAUGGCUGGGUAGUAUUCCAUUGUAUGUGUGUGUGUGUGUGUGUAUAUAUAUAUAUAUAUAUAAUCUAGCACAAUAUAUAUACACACAUAUAUGUAUAUAUACACACAUAUAUACACAUAUAUGUGUGAUAACUGUGAUAGAUAGAUAGAUAGAUAGAUAGAUAGAUAGAUAGAUAGAUAUAGGUAUAUCAUAGUUUCUUUAUCCACUCUUCGAUUGCUGGGCAUUUGGGUUGGUUCCAAAUUUUUGCAAUUGUGAAUUGUACUGCUAUAAACAUGGAUGUGCAAGUACUUUUUCAUAUAAUGACUUCUUUUCUACUGGAUAGAUACCCAGAAGUGGGAUUGCUGUAUCAAAUGGUAUUUCUACUUUUAGUUCUUUAAGGAAUUUCCACACUGUUUUCCAUAGUGGUUGUACUAGUUUACAUUCCCACCAGCAGAGUAGGAGUGUUCCCUUUUCACCACAUCCACGCCAACAUCUAUUAUUAUUUUUAUUUUUUGAUCAUGGCCAUUCUUGUGGGAGUAUACAAUAUACCUUUAUGCUUAGAUGUCUUAAAAAUAAAAUACCUUUUAUGUAAGCCACUAUUCACUAUUUUCUGUGAAGACAAAUUGAAAAGAAAUAUAAAAAUAUAAAACAAAUUAUUUCAUUUUCAGAAGUUAGCUGACAUAUUACCAUUAUGGUGAAUUCACUCUCAACAUUUUAGUGUAGUUUGUUUUGUAGAAUUUGACCUUAUUCAUCUUUCAUUGAGCUAAUUGGGUGUUGGGUCUUAUUGCACAUACUUUAUUUAGCACAGAGGAGGUAUUAGAAUUCUGAGGUUGCCAUUAAAUACAUGGCUACUCAUAUGUAUCUAAAUUGACCUAGUUGCAAGAAGAAACAUUCUAUAUUGGCCUUUAUUUCUUUUCCUAAUAGAAGCUUGUAUUCCGCUCCCCUCUAAUUGGAUAAAUAGCUGUGAUUUUACAAUCAGUUAGCAGUCUUUUCCCUGCAUAGAGAGGGCUGGAAGCAUCCUAACAUCACACCAGAAAUUUUUGUUUGAAGCCUGGCAUUUUAAUUUAAUGAAAGAUGUGCCAACAUGGAGAAUCCUGCAUCAAGUUUUAUAUUAAAAGGCAGAGGGAGCCUUUUUUGUCCAACUAGAACGCUCAUGUAUUGCUUUUCACUGUGUGUGGCUGCACCUUUCAGAGCAUGCUGAAGUAGCCAUCGAGGACUAAGCAAAUCUCUGUAACAUAUAUAAAGCCUUCCUUUCUUACUGAUUCUGAUACAGUAUAGUUAGUGUUCAUGGCUGCUAGAUAAAUGAUUUGCAAAAUCAAUGAAAGCAUUACAGGGCCAGAGCUGGCAUGCAUUUCCCCUAAUGACUUUGAAGCAUGUUGCCUUCCAAAUGAAGUCACCUUCUCUGCAGACCCAGCCACAGCUCUUGCUCCAGACAUCCCAAAGGCCAAUGACUCUGAUUAGCCAGUGAUGCACAAAAUGUCAUACAACCUCUCUUUAUGAAAGCUGCCAACUCAUGUAGCCUUUUAUGAGUACUCUUCAUGUUUAAUUAAUCAGGGAUUGCAGUUCUGCUCAAGUACCACAUGUUUAACAUCCCUGAUUUUUAUAAAAUGAAAGAUUGACUCAGGGUUUAUGUUUAAUUUUGAAAAAAUACUGAAAUAAGAGAUCACUUAAGGAAAAGAGCAGACACAAUAUGAACAAUAGACCAACCACCUAGAGUGAAGUAAUUUAAUUAUGGGAUAAACCUGCAUAGUAAGGUUUCUAGGAAUAGACCGGUUACAAUGGUUCUCUCUAAACACAAUUCUUCUUUUCUUUCAGUCUUUUCAAAUCUUCUAGAAUAGUGGGUCAAUACCACUGAAUAAACAGUGAGACUGUGUAUUGUAUUGAAGUGACCUAAUCCAUGAGUUUCCUGUUUUAUUUCAGUCAAGGGUAGAGCUCAUGGUUUGAUGUGCCAGCUAGGAAAAUGACAAAGCCUGUCAUAGCAAAGAGAAGAUAAAGUGCCCAGCUUUCCAACACCUGUGCUCUGCUGGGAAGGAGGGGCAAAAAGAAGGAGGAGCUGGACAUGAAUGCUAGGAAACCCGAGCAGGUGCUGGCCAGCUGAAUGGAGACUGAAAGCUGAAUCGUUUCUUCUGCGGAGGCAAGAAUUGAGUUUGCUUCAGACCUGGACAGAACCACUGCCGCUAACAUAUUUCGGUGCCCUGUGACUCGGAAAUGUUCCACCGGCUGCAGUUUAGGCUAACCCUGCUUAUUCCUGUAAACCAACAAGGGACCUCUGCAGUUCAGAAGAAACAAGAGGGAUCGGCCAUCAAGCUCCAGAUGAUCCUCAGUGAGGGAUACUGUCCUCUCAAUAUUCAAGAGUCACCCUUCUACAGAAGAUCCCUAGACUUCCCAUCAGUGGGACAUGACAGAGGUGAGAAACCUGAGAUUCGUGGAAGUUAAAAGACUUGUGCAGCAUCCACAGCUACACUGGCCAUUCCUGUCGUCUUCAAUAUGAGUUCUUCCAUGCUUACGAAGUGCCUAAAAACAGGCGGCAGGAGAAAAAAUGAAUGCUGAGCAAAGAGGGAAGACCCUUAUGAAACCAUCAGAUCUCGUGGGAACUCACUUACCAUCAUGAGAACAGCAUGAAGGAAACCGCCCCAUGAUUCAAUUAUCUCCAACUUGUCUAGCCCUGGACACAUGGGGGUUAUUUCAAUUCAAGGUAAGAUUUAGCUGGAGACACAGAGCCAAACCCUACCAGUGCAUAAAAUUGGAAUAACAUUUUCUGUCCUUCUGGUCUCUCUUGCUUGUUGCCAUUGUCAAGUAAGGUAAUAGAUGGAAAAGCACUCUGAAAAUCACCAAAUGAAUGCAUUUCAUUGUUACUUAUUAGGAUAAUUUCUUGGGAUGGUUGUUACAAUUGUUAAAUUUUGUGGUUAUUCUGAUUAUUUUUGAAUAUUAAUCAACUUUAAUUCUUCAUUAUAAACUUCUCUAAAAAUGUUAUUUUUCAGAAGCAUUGUAUUGUAGGAUAGAACAGAGAUAUUCUUGCAAGCAAAGGAGACCAGUCCUGCUCAUUUUAGACAAAAUAGCAUUGAGUGUCCACAGGAUAAGUAGAAACCCAGAUGACAGGGUUUAGGGAAUAGACAAAUCCACGGAAGCAGGAAAAAUACACUAAGCAUCUGGAGUAGUUUGCCAUCACUUAUCACUGUUCCUGUGUUGAAUUACCUCUAACUAGGAGUAGGUAAUUUUCAAAAUAUAUAUCUCUUUGUAUAAUACAAACACUGAAUACUCUGAAUGGUCUGUAACUAAAAACCUAGUAGGGCCAUACUGGUGCAUGACUGCUGGAUAUUAAGUUUUGCCUCCAAUUAUUUCUCAUGCUUCUGCAUCUCUAGCUCAAGACCAAAGUUCUAUCCAAUAGCAGUGCAUUAGAUGAGCUUGGGUCACUUGUGGUUAAAUAAUGGGAAAAGGCUUAGCGAGUUUGUAGCCUGCAGCUUCUGUCAGAACAGAAAAGAUGCAAUCUCUGACCAAGACUGCACACAGAAGGUAUUUGGGCGGCUAAUAGUGAAGGGAUUUAAUUCUUAAUAGCUAAAAUAAAAAGUGUUCGCAGAAAAUGUGGUAUUUACUUCCUAUCUUGUUUUUCUCAUGUGUAUUUUGGUAAUUGAAUUACCUGUUAUUUCUCUAAAGUACAGAAUAGUAAUGCUGAGGUGACAGGUAUAUAUGCAAGACAUGGAAUUUUAGAUGUUGAUACUUAUUAGCAUUGAUUUAUUCAAUGUUAUUUCACUGAGCAAACAUUAAAAUUUAAUAAGACAAGGUACAGAAAUACAUGUGACAGAUAAUAUUUAGCAUGUCUGUUUCAGAGAUAGAAACAUCCUUUAAUUUAAGUAAAGAAAUGGAAUUCCACAGAGAGGCCUUGACACAUUUGUAAGUGUAGAUGACAUAUGUAGAAUUUUUGGUAGUAUUUUGCAUAUGUGGGUUUUUGAUAUACAAAGAAAAACUUCUUCCUUCCUAUAUUAAAGUGAUUUCUUUAUCUUGUUUCCAUGGUAAUAAUGAAUUGGUGUUAAUUGUCUGACUUCCCACCUACAAUGCAAUCUGGGCUAAUUCUGCCAGGUUCCAGCUGAGUCUCCAAAGACGAGGACAGGCUCCUAAGUGGCCCAGACUGAGCCUCACUACUCAAGCCAUCAGGGAAGCUGGCAAUUGCAUGGUGACUCAACCUUAAGCCAAGAUCAAAACCUAAAUACAAAACACAAUGCAGAAUGCACAAAUAGCUAUUUCACAAGCUGUAGGUGAGAACUAAGAGUUAACAACAGAAUAGAAGAGGAAUUUAAAAGAAGCAGGAGAGGAACAGAAUGAGUCCUGGAAGUUUACCUGUAAUGUCAACAGUUCACCUUUAGGGGCCAGGAAAUCAAUCAUGUCUAGGCCUGUUGGCUAUUUCUAAAGGUCGGAAUCUGGGAAAAUGGAUCUGUUUGCAUUAUCUUACUAUUUCAGUUUACAGGCCUGCUUUCAGUAAUGAGGGGUCAGGGCCAGAGUCCAAAGAGAGGCUCUCAUAUACAAGAUGUCUAAAUACGUAUUUAAAAGCUAUGUGUAAAACUAUCCAACUGUCAAAUAAAACAUGUUCUAUCAAACUCAUUGAACAAUAUACCUUCAUAAUAAAAAAAUGAAAAAAUAUAUGUAAAGCUAUGGUUUCUUAGGAUAAAAAGUAG